AACGAACGCUGGCGGCAUGCCUAACACAUGCAAGUCGAAAGAGACCUUCGGGUCUAGUGGCGCACGGGUGCGUAACGCGUGGGAACCUGCCCUUAGGUUCGGAAUAACUCCCCGAAAGGGGUGCUAAUACCGGAUAAUGUCUUCGGACCAAAGAUUUAUCGCCUUUGGAUGGGCCCGCGUUGGAUUAGCUAGUUGGUAGGGUAAAAGCCUACCAAGGCGACGAUCCAUAGCUGGUCUGAGAGGAUGAUCAACCACACUGGGACUGAGACACGGCCCAGACUCCUACGGGAGGCAGCAGUGGGGAAUAUUGGACAAUGGGCGAAAGCCUGAUCCAGCAAUGCCGCGUGAGUGAUGAAGACCUUAGGGUUGUAAAGCUCUUUUACCCGGGAUGAUAAUGACAGUACCGGGAGAAUAAGCUCCGGCUAACUCCGUG
rnacentral:rRNA from 1 species